UUUAUCACCCUGGAAACUGUGCCUCUGUUUAUCCACAGAGCUGGUACAACACAGGCAGCCACCCUAUCUCACCUAUGUAUGUCAAACCUGAUCUUAACACACUUUAUGAAGCUGGGAGAGUAUCAGUGUCUCUGUUUCACGGAGGGAGAAACU
rnacentral:sRNA from 1 species